GAGUUUGAUCGUGGCUCAGAUUGAACGCUGGCGGCAUGCCUUACACAUGCAAGUCGAACGGCAUCACGGGAGCUUGCUCCUGGUGGCGAGUGGCGAACGGGUGAGUAAUGCAUUCGGAACGUAUCCUGGAGUGGGGGAUAAACGUAGCGAAAGUUACGCUAAUACCGCAUAUUCUGUGAGCAGGUAAAGCGGGGGACCUUCGGGCCUCGCGCUCUUGGAGCGGCCGAUCGUCGGAUUAGCUAGUUGGUGAGGUAAAGGCUCACCAAGGCGACGAUCCGGUAGCAGGUCUGAGACGGAUGAUCUGCCACACUGGAACUGAGACACGGUCCAGACUCCUACGGGAGGCAGCAGUGGGGAAUUUUGGACAAUGGGGGCGAACCCUGAUCCAGCCAUGCCGCGUGAGUGAAGAAGGCCUCGG
rnacentral:rRNA from 1 species